UGAGUAGGGGAAAGAUUGUGAUUGAUGCGGUCCUGUCAAAUCCAAGUAUUCUAGUAGCGCAAAAGCAAAACUAUACAUGGCUUGGGCUUCCCUUUUCUGAAGAAAAUCCGCCGAGCCGCUUAUCAGCUGAAGAAGGCAUUGAUUUACGUACAAAAAUAAGGAGGAUUGCCAGAGAGGAUGCCGCUACUCACUGGGCCAGGG
rnacentral:misc_RNA from 1 species